rnacentral:rRNA from 1 species
UACAGAGGGUGAAAGCGUUGUUCGGAAUUACUGGGCGUAAAGCGCACGUAGGCGGGCUCUUAAGUCGGUGGUGAAAUCCUGGAGCUCAACUCCAGAACUGCCUUCGAUACUGAGAGUCUUCGAGUCCGGGAGAGGUGAGUGGAACUGCGAGUGUAGAGGUGAAAUUCGUAGAUAUUCGCAAGAACACCAGUGGCGAAGGCGGCUCACUGGCCCGGUACUGACGCUGAGGUGCGAAAGCGUGGGGAGCAAACAGG